GUGAAGUGGCGCUGCUACCAUGCAAGUCGACGAUGACGGUGGUGCUUGCACCGCCUGAUUAGUGGCGAACGGGUGAGUAACACGUGAGUAACCUGCCCUCCACUUCGGGAUAACCUCGGGAAAUCGUGGCUAAUACCGGAUAUGAGCACUCAUCGCAUGGUGGGUGUUGGAAAGAUUUAUCGGUGGGGGAUGGACUCGCGGCCUAUCAGUUUGUUGGUGAGGUGAUGGCUCACCAAGACGAUGACGGGUAGCCGGCCUGAGAGGGCGACCGGCCACACUGGGACUGAGACACGGCCCAGACUCCUACGGGAGGCAGCAGUGGGGAAUAUUGCACAAUGGGCGAAAGCCUGAUGCAGCGACGCCGCGUGGGGGAUGACGGCCUUCGGGUUGUAAACCCCUUUCAGUAGGGAAGAAGCGAGAGUGACGGUACCUGCAGAAGAAGCGCCGGCUAACUACGUGCCAGCAGCCGCGGUAAUACGUAGGGCGCAAGCGUUGUCCGGAAUUAUUGGGCGUAAAGAGCUUGUAGGUGGCUUGUCGCGUCUGCCGUGAAAACCCGAGGCUCAACCUCGGGCGUGCGGUGGGUACGGGCAGGCUAGAGUGUGGUAGGGGAGACUGGAACUCCUGGUGUAGCGGUGAAAUGCGCAGAUAUCAGGAAGAACACCGAUGGCGAAGGCAGGUCUCUGGGCCAUUACUGACACUGAGAAGCGAAAGCAUGGGUAGCGAACAGGAUUAGAUACCCUGGUAGUCCAUGCCGUAAACGUUGGGCACUAGGUGUGGGGGACAUUCCACGUUUUCCGCGCGUAGCUAACGCAUUAAGUGCCCGCUGGGGAGUACGGCCGCAAGGCUAAACUCAAAGGAAUUGACUGGGGCCCGCACAGCGGCGAGCAUGCUGAUUAAUUCGAUGCAACGCGAAAACUUUACCAAGGCUUGACAUG
rnacentral:rRNA from 1 species